UACUAACUUUUCGUGGUCCCAACUCCAGAGCUGAAACGGCUUAUUGGAUGUAUGUAUGCAUUGCGUGCAUGGGAUGUUAGUGCAUACAUGCCCAUCGAUGUGAUGCAUUAAAGCUUCGCCAUCGUGCUUCUCGUGGAGUGGUGCCGAUAAACCCAGUCGAUCUCUUGCUUGGAGCGCCUGCAACAGCAGUUUGUGCUGAAGGCAGCGACGAAAAACACGAGAGCUUGUACGAGAAAUCCAAACAACGAUCCGGAGAGCAGUCCCUGUGCACACAAGAUGAAAAAGCUCCAAGCGUGAACAAC